rnacentral:misc_RNA from 1 species
CCUCUCCUCUGCAUCAUCCCUGCCUCUCCCGGGCACACUCUUCGUCUACAUCCCUGUGAACGGUGCCUCGACCUCAGUCGUCGCCAGCGCCGACGCACUCAUCAAUCAACGCCCUCAGACGCAUACGCAGGAUCUGCACGCGGAGCUGGAGGCAAUGAUAAAGGUGGAGGCCGCUGGCAGCUCAUCGGCGCACGCCCCCUCGCUCCCGACGCACACGCAUGUGGAAACUCGCAUGCUUGGCCAGCUGCCUUCGCAGAUGGCGAGCUCCUCGAUUGAGGCGUGGUGUGACGGUGUCCAGCACCUCAUGGAGAAGUACUUCUCCCGUCUUGGGGAAGUUGUUGUAGCACACCUAGGCCUCCGCGCUCCGAGUAUACAAGACCAGCACAGUAGCGGUGGCAGCGGCGCGGCAGAGAAGCGCGAAAUCGUGAACAAGCUGCGAAGCGAGCACAAGGAAAAUUUGGAGCUGGAUGUGCAAGCGGCAGACAUCGAGGCGACAGAAAUGGCGCUCUUCCAGCAGCUGUGGGCGCAUCAUCAGCUGCAGCAGAAGCGUCAAAGACCAGUGGCGGCGGACGAUGGUACCGAAAAGGAAGACCGCCUGAGCGGCGCAUCACGAGGCGGGGCGUCGACACCGGAUGCAGUAGCAGAAGCAGCCCUCCCCACACGUGAUGGGGCAUCUUACAUUCGACCUCCAUCCUCCUCCGCGGCAGCGACAGCGCCCGAGGACGCUGCAUCGGCUACCCCAUGUGACACGGAGGGAAACCCGUUCCUGAAGACGCAGCAGCACCUGGCGUCCGAGUCGGCUGCUCGCAUUCCUGCGGAUCUGCUGGAGCUCUUCCGCACUGCGCAGGAGCUGCACUCUGCCGCGCCGGGUAGCACCGGGCCACCGCCGCGGGCAACCCCGUCAAAGGAGGCUGCGGCAGCAGGAGAGAACCCCUUCGACGCCACCGCGAACCGUCUAUCUCGAGUGUCAGUGGUGCUGAGCGAGGAGGAGAAUGCGCAGGCCGCCGCGAUGGCGCUCUUGUGUUUUCGCUACUUCUACAGCUCGAAUUCGGCGCCGGCAUCACCGGUGGAGGCAGCCGCCCCGCUCGUCUCGGCCACAAAGCCCCCCGAGCAGCCAUCGCAGCCCGCCCAUGUACGUGAAAAGGUGGCCGCCGCCACUAUAGUGCCGAAGCAGAAGCGGCAGCGUCACCUAGCCCCCCUUCCGCGUGCCACCCCUACAUCGCCGGCACUGUCCGUGCACGCAUGCCACGGCGCAGAUGCGUCGUCACACAUAUCCCUGAGCAGUCCCGGGGCGUGGCGGAAGCUCAUUACGAAGCCUGGCAGCUUGGGCCCUUCUGAGCACCAGCAGCAGCCAUCCUCCACACCGGCUCAUGCAGCAGAUCGCCUGAGGGCAGAAUUGGCUUCGCUGUUUCCGCAGCAAGCACAGCAGGUGCAGGGCGGCUUCUCCUGUGGCCUUCCCCCACAGCGCGCCUUCUUCACGGGCGCCGACACGUCGGUCGACGCAGACGCCGCUGGGGAGAAAUCGCGGCCAGAGAGCAAAGGCCGCAACAACCACGUCGCCUUCCUUAACGCGGACCGGACAACUGACGGGGCUCGCGGGGCAGGCGGUCGGCCUCCUCUCACCCGCCCCACGCUGGGGAGCCCCUCCACGGAGGACGCACACAACAGCGGCGCCUCCCGCAGCAAAGGCGGGGUCAAGCUGCCGUCGCUAACCUUGCAUGCAUCCCCCACGUCGGCAGGCGAGCGUCCGCCUUCCGCCGCUGCUUCCUCCUCUCCUCCGACACCGCCCACCCCAACCACAGCAGCAGCGGGGACGCCGCAUGUGAUGAGUGACCAAUGCCCGGUACUUCCUGCUCUGGAUCCCAGUGCUACCGCGGCGCCGAGCAGCGUUACGGCCGCGACGGCAGCCCCAGGAACGGAAGCGGCAGCGUCGGCGCAGAAGCACGGCAGUGGCGCUAAGAAAGCGAAGAAGAGAGGCGGCAGCGGGCAGCGUCGCCGUGCGCCGCGGCUCCUGCCCAAGUGUGUGGUCCUGCCGCCGAACUACAGUGGCGUUCACGGUGAGCAGCUCACGAUGGCGCAGCUGGUGCAGCUGGCGGCGGGUGUUUCAGAGGAUUGCGCGGUGGCGCAGGUGGAUGUGAAGCGCCAGUACGACGCCGCGGAUGCUGCGGCAGCGGAGCUGUACCGUCUGCAACAGGCCGUGGCGCGUGUGCUGCUGGAGAAUAUACAGCUGGAGAAGGACAUUUAUACCCUGACUGCCACAUCACACGCAUACGCGGCGGGAGAUGAGGAUGGCGACGCGGACGAGGCUGGCCGGGGCGCAGACGCCGCUGCAGGGAUGAGGAGACGGCACCACAGCGACGGGGUCGACCCGUACGGUAGCCGCUACAGUGACACUAGCAAGAGCCGUGUCCGCAAGGGGGUGAUGUCGUGCUUCGCUGCUUCGACCCUCUCCCCCGCAUCCGCAGCCCACCCCUCUGCAGAUAAGCGCAAGCGACAGCCCAUUCUGCCACCUGCGCCGAUGCCGCUGCCGCAUUCCAAACGUGCACUCACCGCCGCCUCGCUCCUUCUGCAUGUCGCCGGAGAGAAGAAGGCAGUGCCGCCGGUUUCAGCGGCAGCGGCAGCAGUGGCACACCCAUGGCCGUGGCGGCAGGAAAGUGCUCCGGCGGAAAGGGCAAAGCUGAGCCCGAAGAGCUCCUGCCAGCACAAGGCACGCGCCGUCGCGUCUGCCAUCCCCACUGCGGCUGAGGGGGUGACGGCGGUGGACGGCCAGCAGGAGCCACACACAAUCCUGCAGGAGCUCCGCAGUGCCAUCGCGAGUCGUGAGGCGGAGAAGGCGCAGACACUCGCCGAGAUCGACGCCCUCUCGAGCCGCGUCACCCGCCACGACACCCUUUUGCACGCCGUGGCGGAGUACUGGCGACGCAAUGCCGCCGUGAUGAAGCGGCAGCACUUUGCUGUGCAGUCGCAGCCGAAGCAGUCCACGUCGUCGGAGACCAUGACCCGGCUUGGCGAUGGUGGCGAUGGGUGGGGUUCCGAGAACGCCAUUGGCACCAUCGCCCCACCGUGCCUGUUCAAUGCCUCAGACGGGACGCAUGGCGUUGUCACUCAAGCGAACAGCAGCAACAGUGGGCAUUCAACCUCAAGCCACAAGUAUAGUCACAGCACCGUCAUCACCGCCGCCAUGAGCCUGUCAGGGAAGAUGACGAACCUGGGCGGGUCACCGUCGCAGGCGCAGCGAGCCCUCGCGCAGAUGGAGGCCCUCUCACCAACCCCGCUGAGCAGCACCCCCUCCUUCGACAUGCGCAUCACCUCGCCCGUGUCAAGCACACUCUCACCACCGCUGCAGAUGCGGGCGCUAGUGCGACGGCAGAUCAUUCCCCCGCGCCAACGAGCGCAGGAGAGCGAGCCAGCGCCGAAUAAGCCAGACGCUAUCAACGCCACUCUGAGUGCUGCAACUGGCGCUGCAGUCGAGGCCGAGAGCACGCCGGUGCGAGUCCGGGUGGGCGUUCACGUGACGCCGCCGAUGGAGAACGAGCUUGGUGGCAGGCCGCACCGAAAGGUGAUCGCACCGCCUCUGGAGAGCCCCACCGCCGCUGCGGCUGCAGUCGCCCCAUCUUCGACAUUCACGGACACUGACACUACGGCCACGACGUUCCUCAGAUCUCCCGACUCCGUGUCCGACACGAUGGGUAGGUCACCGAGCGCCUCUGCCGCCCUCACCGUCGGAGCACCAGCAGUGCUGAAGCAAGAGUGGCGUAAGAACGAGCAUGGGCUUGCUGUGUCGGCAGUAGCGGUGAACCUGUUCAACGGCAGCCCUCGACGCUGGCCAGGCAACAUCUUGGCAUCUCCACUGGGCUUCACCCAAGUCUACGACAGAGAGGAAGGAGAGGACGACAACGUAUGCGGCAGUGGCAGCUUCCCGACCACCCCUCUGCACCCCAGCCGCAGUACCACGGCAAACAACAGCCACAGCUACGCCAUCGGCGGCAUGCGGCGCGGGGACGAAGACGUUCUGGAUCAUGGAUCGUGGCGCACCAUACCGGCCCUUCAGCUGGAGAACGUGGACGAGAUUGCAGAGUUCAUCUACAGCGUCUUCGAGCGUCCGUAAGACGUCCCUCGCAUCCAUGCAGGAAACAUAUUGGAAAGAUGUGCACCGCACGCCCACCCGGCUCACCCCACGCGAGGCCGGUGAAGCCUCUCCACUUCCCCCCCCCAUUCGCGAGCUGCUCCUAACGACAUACCCGCAUCGGUUGUUUUCCGCUGCCUUGCUGAGGAGGGGAAGGGGAAGAGCUGGGGCAGCUGUCAGCAUACACACACCCACAGACAGGCAGAGACACACACUCAGAUGGACGAUGAUGUUGGCGCCUUUCCUUUCGUGUGCUUGUUCGCUCAUUGUUCUCAUGUACAGUUAAGCCGGGGAAGUCAACCGAUCACAGGUCAUGACCGCAGUGGGGCAACAAGGGCGGCAACACUGCGUUCGACCUAUGCCCAUACCCCCGUGACGAACCACACGCGUGCACACGCACGCCUCCGUCAUCUUGCGUGCCGCCCUUUUCUCGUGUGUGUGUGUGCGUCUUUCGGCUCCCCACCCACCCAACCGCCCACCACCACCCACUUGAUGUAUAAGGAGGCAACUAAACAACAAGACACACACACGCGCCGUACAUGCGCACCCACGCGUAAACGAUGAGCACGGCUGAAUUUUGUCCAGCGCGUAUGUACAAGGGGAUGGACAGUGCGCAAUGCCUAAAAAUGAGAAGCGAGAGAAAGAGAGCGGGGGGAAGGGGGGCACACGCCCCAUCUGCAGCACUCGCAGCAGUAAUUCGACGUCACGCUCUUUCGGAAAAGGGUGUAAGGAUGGCAGUACAAGGGCACAUGCGAUGGAGGCGAGUGGUGAGGAGAUGCCAGCAACUUCCUCUUUGGGCGUGGUUCUUGCUUCUGUAUGGAUGUAUGUGUGCGUAUGUGAGUGCCCUUGCCACGUCAGAUCAAUUCUGCCCGCUCACCUCACCAGCCCGCGCAAGCUUUCCUCUCGUGUUCCCUUCCCCCCAUUCACCUCCUUCUUGGGCUCCCUCUCUCCACUCCCUCUUCCCUCUAUUUCUCGUGGCCCAAACACGCAUCCACAUUCAUAAACAUGAUCAUUGCCCCUUCUCUCGCUGCUCUGGUUUACUGGCUCGUGCACGGCUUCACGCCCCUAAG